rnacentral:tRNA from 1 species
GGUCCCAUGGUAUAAUGGUUAGCACUCUGGACUUUGAAUCCAGCGAUCUGAGUUAAAAUCUCGGUGGGACCU